AGGUCUGCGCAGUGGCAGUAUUGUAGCCAAUGAGGUUUACCCAAAGCAUGAUUAUUGCUAAUUGAAAACUUUUCCUAAUUAGCAAACUUCUAUUAAAUACAGACUUUGUUUGCUCAAGAUAUAUCAGAAGUGACUUGAAAG
rnacentral:snRNA from 1 species